rnacentral:rRNA from 1 species
GUGGGGAAUAUUGGACAAUGGGGGGAACCCUGAUCCAGCCAUGCCGCGUGUGUGAAGAAGGCCUUUUGGUUGUAAAGCACUUUAAGCGAGGAGGAGGCUACCGAGAUUAAUACUCUUGGAUAGUGGACGUUACUCGCAGAAUAAGCACCGGCUAACUCUGUGCCAGCAGCCGCGGUAAUACAGAGGGUGCAAGCGUUAAUCGGAUUUACUGGGCGUAAAGCGCGCGUAGGUGGCCAAUUAAGUCAAAUGUGAAAUCCCCGAGCUUAACUUGGUAAUUGCAUUCGAUACUGGUUGGCUAGAGUAUGGGAGAGGAUGGUAGAAUUCCAGGUGUAGCGGUGAAAUGCGUAGAGAUCUGGAGGAAUACCGAUGGCGAAGGCAGCCAUCUGGCCUAAUACUGACACUGAGGUGCGAAAGCAUGGGGAGCAAACAGGAUUAGAAACCCCGGUAGUCC